GUGAGAUCUAGAAUCCACACAUUGAGGAUAAGAAAGUCUUGUGGUAGAAACUUCAUCCGCAAGCUUGGACUUGGAAUAAAAUCUUCAAUCUUUCCACAUGCGCCGACAGAAUGCACAGACCAGCAAAUCCAAGUCUACAUGGAAGAAAAGUACUAAUCGACAAAUAUAGAAGAAUUGAUUUAAUUACUAUGGAAGAAUUGACUUGAGCAUGACAAAGGCUCCUU
rnacentral:lncRNA from 1 species